AUUGAACGCUGGCGGCAUGCCUUACACAUGCAAGUCGAACGGUAACAGGUUAAGCUGACGAGUGGCGAACGGGUGAGUAAUAUAUCGGAACGUGCCCAGUCGUGGGGGAUAACGUAGCGAAAGCUACGCUAAUACCGCAUACGAUCUACGGAUGAAAGCGGGGGAUCGCAAGACCUCGCGCGAUUGGAGCGGCCGAUAUCAGAUUAGGUUGUUGGUGAGGUAAGGGCUCACCAAGCCUGCGAUCUGUAGCUGGUCUGAGAGGACGACCAGCCACACUGGAACUGAGACACGGUCCAGACUCCUACGGGAGGCAGCAGUGGGGAAUUAUGGACAAUGGACGCAAGUCUGAUCCAGCAAUGCCGCGUGCAGGACGAAGGCCUUCGGGUUGUAAACUGCUUUUGUACGGAACGAAACGGCGAGCUCUAAUACAGUUUGCUAAUGACGGUACCGUAAGAAUAAGCACCGGCUAACUACGUGCCAGCAGCCGCUGUAA
rnacentral:rRNA from 1 species